GUGAAUUAGCGGCGAACGGGUGAGGAACACGUGAGAAAUCUGCCUUCAACUCUGGGAUAACUCCGUGAAAACGGGGCUAAUACCGGAUAUGAGAUCUACAGGCAUCUGUGGAUCUGGAAAGUUUUUCGGUUGAAGAUGAUCUCGCGGCCUAUCAGCUUGUUGGUGAGGUAAUGGCUCACCAAGGCGACGACGGGUAGCCGGCCUGAGAGGGCGACCGGCCACACUGGGACUGAGACACGGCCCAGACUCC
rnacentral:rRNA from 1 species